CGGCGGACGGGUGAGUAACGCGUGGGUAACCUGCCUCAUACAGGGGGAUAACAGUUGGAAACGGCUGCUAAUACCGCAUAAGCGCACAGUACCGCUUGGUACGGUGUGAAAAACUCCGGUGGUAUGAGAUGGACCCGCGUCUGAUUAGGUAGUUGGUGGGGUAACGGCCUACCAAGCCGACGAUCAGUAGCCGACCUGAGAGGGUGACCGGCCACAUUGGGACUGAGACACGGCCCAA
rnacentral:rRNA from 1 species